UCAUAGGCAAAUCUGUCUAAAGACAGAGACGCAAAACUAUAGGGUCUAAAUUACAAUGAUGUAAUAUGAUAGCCAGUUGC
rnacentral:ncRNA from 1 species